rnacentral:ncRNA from 1 species
ACAAAACUUAAAGCGCCUGAACUAAGCAACGGACGACACUAUGCUUAGUUGACGAGGAGGAGGUUUAUCGAUCUAUCGGCGGAUGCCUCCCGGUUGCCACUCACAACCGAUACAGUAACAGUUCAAAGCAUAAAGGCAACUUUAUGUACAAAAACUGAUACUAUGAGGACAA